rnacentral:rRNA from 1 species
GACGAACGCUGGCGGCGUGCUUAACACAUGCAAGUCGAGCGGUAAGGCCCUUCGGGGUACACGAGCGGCGAACGGGUGAGUAACACGUGAGCAACCUGCCCCUGACUCCGGGAUAAGCGGUGGAAACGCCGUCUAAUACCGGAUACGACCCGCCACCUCAUGGUGGAGGGUGGAAAGUUUUUCGGUCAGGGAUGGGCUCGCGGCCUAUCAGCUUGUUGGUGGGGUAACGGCCUACCAAGGCGAUUACGGGUAGCCGGCCUGAGAGGGCGACCGGCCACACUGGGACUGAGACACGGCCCAGACUCCUGCGGGAGGCAGCAGUGGGGAAUAUUGCGCAAUGGGCGAAAGCCUGACGCAGCGACGCCGCGUGGGGGAUGACGGCCUUCGGGUUGUAAACCUCUUUUACCACCAACGCAGGCUCGAAGUUCUCUUCGGGUUGACGGUAGGUGGGGAAUAAGGACCGGCUAACUACGUGCCAGCAGCCGCGGUAAUACGUAGGGUCCGAGCGUUGUCCGGAAUUAUUGGGCGUAAAGAGCUCGUAGGCGGCGUGUCGCGUCUGCUGUGAAAGACCGGGGCUUAACUCCGGUUCUGCAGUGGAUACGGGCAUGCUAGAGGUAGGUAGGGGAGACUGGAAUUCCUGGUGUAGCGGUGAAAUGCGCAGAUAUCAGGAGGAACACCGGUGGCGAAGGCGGGUCUCUGGGCCUUACCUGACGCUGAGGAGCGAAAGCAUGGGGAGCGAACAGGAUUAGAUACCCUGGUAGUCCAUGCCGUAAACGUUGGGCGCUAGGUGUGGGGACUUUCCACGGUUUCCGCGCCGUAGCUAACGCAUUAAGCGCCCCGCCUGGGGAGUACGGCCGCAAGGCUAAAACUCAAAGGAAUUGACGGGGGCCCGCACAAGCGGCGGAGCAUGUUGCUUAAUUCGACGCAACGCGAGAACCUUACCAAGGUUUGACAUCACCCGUGGACUCGCAGAGAUGUGAGGUCAUUUAGUUGGCGGGGUGACAGGUGCGUGCAUGACUGUCGUCAGCUCGUGUCGUGAGAUGUUGGGUCAGUCCCGCACGGAGCGCAUCCUUGUCAAUGCUGCAGCACGUAUGGGUGGGGGACUCAUGGGGAGAACUGCCUGGGGUUCACCUUCGAAGGAAAGUUG